UUGGUUUUCUAAUGAACUAAAACACUUAAAAACAUAAUCUAAGACAAGUUCUAAUUAAUAUGACUCAAAGAAAUAAGAUGGGGUUGAUUUUGGACGAAAAUAAUUAAAUUAAGACAAGAACAAAGUAAACAAAUUCUUAGACAAAUUUAAGUGAAUCAAAACAGAUUGUAAAAUGAAUUUGAAUGAAACUUAUGGAUGGAAGGCUAGCUAGGAGGUUCUUCUCCACACAUGUCACACUUGCAUACAAAACGAUUUCCAGUUGCUUUUCGAUAAGCUAUGAAUACUCAACGCCCCAAAUUAACCGUGAAUUGCACUAAUUAACCCUCAGUUUUUCCACAAGUUAUUGGAUUGGAUGAUUGCAUACGACAACCCAAAACAUUCCCUACAAGUUCCCUACAUGAAUUGCAUAAUAGAGAUACAAGCAACGAAUCAUUAAGUUCUAUGAAAAACAUAAGCAUUGACGAGGCACUCGUUACUAUGAUUUGCAUGAAACUUAUGCCAAGAAUUUACUUAACGUGAUUGUGACUAGCAACCUUCACUACUUGUGAAUAUAAGUUCAUAACGAUUAGGUGAAACUCCCUUAUAUUCUAGCGUUAAAUUCAUGCAUGAAAAAUUAAGCGUGCACUCUCAACCAACAUACACAAAUCAGUUUUUUUAUACGAUCGGAUAAGUAAAUUGAAUUCACAACUUAUGAAUCACAACUGGAUGUAAUCAAAUCAUAUUGCAAGUAUGAACAUGGUUUCGAAUCACCCCCUAACUAAGAGGGGUUUAGUUCCUCAUACUCACAAAGCAAAGAUACAUAAAAUUAGACAUUAAAAUCAAAGGAAAGAAAAACACCUAAAAUGCUCCAACUUGGGUAGCAAGUGCAUCCAAGAAUUCUCCUUUGCUUGCUUGCGGCAGAAUUGCUUUGUGGACGGAUUUUUGGGUAGUUUUAUGAUGUAGAAUGGAUGGGGAAUGGUAUGGAAAGGUUUAGGGUAAGUGUGGAGGAGUGUUUGAGGGUUGGAGGGUGGUGGAGAACUAGGCAAAGAGGGAGGAAGAAGGUGGAGUGGCUGUUAUGUUUUCUAGGCACUAGAAUGGUGUUUUUGGGGUGUUUUGCUUACCUAGGGUGAGUAUGGACGAAUUUCUGUGAUGAAUGGUGAAUAUGAGAGUGUGAACCCUUUGCCAAGGGGUGUAAACAUGUAUAUAUAGGCCCCAAAAACCUUAGAGAAUCAGGUUAGGCUAGGGAGAAUGCACGGCAAAGAGUUUAUGUGGUGUGCAAUGGUCCAAGGGUGAAAAUGAAGUGAUGAUGCAAAGUGUGAAGGGUAAAAUGGAGUGGUCUUGUAGCUAGGGGGCAUGAAUGAUUGUGUACAUUGCAUAGAGAUGGAAAGGGAGGUGAAAAUGUGUCAAUAAAUGGGUCAAAGGUGCAGCAACAUGUGGUACACAAGGCAUGGGAUUCCAAAUGUGAAUGAUGGAGCAUCAAUUGGUGCAUGUUAUGGUUGUGAAAGUUGUAUAAAAUUUUGUGGGUAAAGGGAACAAGAGGUAUCAAGCAAUUAAGUGUAAUAAUUAAAUGAAUUGAAGCAUGAAAUCAGAAAUUAUGUAGGGGACAAGAGUGAUCAAGCAUGGCAUGGGAAUCCAAAGGGAAUUCUAUGUUGUUUUGCAUGGCAAUGAAGGCAAGUUGGGGUGACAAAUUUUUGGGCUGAGUUCUUCAUCUUUUGGACCAUAAUUCUUCACAUUCUUGACCACUUUAGUUCUCAAAUUCGUCCAUCCACUUUGGCCCAAAUAUGUGACAUGCAUUCCAAGCUCCAUUUUGCUCCAAAAUGCUCCAAAAUGCAUCUUCUUGCCUACUUUGUCCAUAAAAUUUGAAAACACACGAAAAUGACUUUAAACAUUAAAAUAACUAAGGAAACACGACAUAAAUGCACAAGAACAAGCCAACUAAGUCGCAUAAAUAUGCUCCUAUCAAAUUCCCCCACACUUAGCUUUUGCUAGUCCUCGAGCAAAACAAAGAGAUAAAACGAAACAAAGUAAAAAAAAAAACACAACCUAAACCUUCCAACAUUUGCCUCAGGGAUUUCCAAUGCACAUGACAUGUUAAAAAUAUUAUCCCCACAGAUUUGAGUCAUCUUCACACUUAAGCACAUACUUAAUCAUAGUCACCACUUACUUGUUCACAAUUAAUCGAUUAAAAUAAUGUUUUUGAUGUAGUAACAUGCCUUAGAGAAAUCACUCAAUUCCUUACAAGAUAUGCACUCAAUUUUCACUCAGAUUUUCUAACUACACACCCUAUACUAGUUAUAUGUGAGAAGAUUGAUGUAGAUAUGAAAACGAACGCUCACAUAUAUGUAUCACAAAGAAAGCAAUUUCUGGAGUUAAUAAGCAUGUUUAGAUAUGAUCUCAUGAAUGGAAUGCUACUACUUAGAUGCGAGAACCAGUGACACCAUAUGCUCAUACCAAUUUCAAACUCCACAUAUUGAAACGCAUGACACUCAAGAUGAAGUUAAGGGUUGUAACGGGGCUUGGGGUGAUGGCUAACAAAUGAAGGAUAAGGAUAACAAUCGUUCUUAAAGCAAUAGCAAGUAAAGUAAUGAAAUUGAAACUUAGAAUUCACUUAGAUUGCAGAAAUCAGCUUUUAGACACGAAGGGAAAAUUCAAGCAAUAUUUAGGGGCGAAUUCUAUCUUUUGGACCCUUUCUUCAACAAGCAGCACUUUAAAACUCUUUUUUCGCAUAUUUUUUCAACUCCUUUUUUUUUUUUUUUUUUUUUUUUUUCUCAACUCUUCUUUUCUUUUCAACAAGCAUAAUAACUCACACUUCCCCCACACUUGUUUUCUGCCAUACAUUAAUCAAAAGAAAUUCAAUUUGAAUCAUGCUUUACUAUGCUUCAAGAAUAAGGGUAUGGAUGGUCCUAAACUAGGCUAGGUAAGGAUAAUGUGGUUUAACAAAGAAUGUAGGCUAUCAAGGCUCAAUGGGGUUAACUUAAACAUAUAACGAUAUGGGAUACAUGGCAGUUUUUGGCUUUGGUGGUGGUAACUACACAACUUCAUCUUGAAUAUGUUUUAUGCAAAUCAAUAGCAUGCUUUGAAUGAAAUAGGCAUGAGUUCUAGCAUUUGGAACUAAAUGAUGAAACGCCUUCUAAGUAAUAACCAAGCAAAGAAUAAUGAGAUCAUGCAACGAGUUUAGAAAACAAGAAUGCACAGAUUUUAACUCUCCAAAUAAACAUUUAAGGCUCAAGUCUCACAAGGUUGUAGCGUUAGUUUGAGUUCUUUCCUUCAAGCAUGUUACAAAAACUAAUUUUUUUCUUUUAUGAUUACAUGUGAUUUCAUAAGUUAUAACCACAACCACGCAUAAAUAAAGAGUAAAUCAAAACUUUCAUCCAUGUUUAUAACUCUCUUUAACAGUCAUGCAAUUACAAACCGAAUCCUCAUCAUUGUGUUGGAAGGUACCCUAAGACACAAAAUAAGCGCACAAAAACAACUCUUUUUUGGAUUUUUCAAAAACAAUUUUUUCAAAUUUUUAUGAAUUUUCGGAUUUUUAUGUCAAAAACACACUGAAACACUCCAAAACAGCUUAAAAAUACUUAAAACAACAAGGAACAACACUAGAAGUAAUGGGUGAUAAAUUUCUACGAAUUUCAUGCAAAACAAUGGUUACCCCCCCCCACACUUAAAUCAAACAUUGUCCUCAAUGUUUCAAGCAUAUACUCACACCAAAAACAAGCAAAAUAACAAACGACAAAUAAACAUGACAAAUAUGGCAAAGUAAAAACCAGACAGAGUAGAGUUUAAGAACGCAAAUCUGGUUUUGGAGAUAGUUGAUCUUGUUGACUUCCCACAGCUUUGAUCUUGAACUGGAUUGGAAUUGUACAGCGAAGCUUUGCUCUUUGGUGAUGUUGCAGUUCCUUAUUUGUUCUCCAAGCAGAUGUGGCAACUUCUUUAGUUCUUCAUCUCAGACUCCUUGUGCUGGGUUGAUUGUGCAAGCUGCAUUCUUCUCUGCUUGUUUCUUCUGCACGACGGGCGGGCACGAGGUAAAGGUGUUGGUCUGUUUCUUUCUUCAAUCUUUCCAAGUGCCCACCUCUUGCUUUCUUUCUCCUUGUCCCUAGUUGAGGAUGAAUCAGCACGUUGUCUCCACAUGCUUUGAGGUAUCAUCUUCACUUCCCUUAUACGUGAGAGACGAAGCGGAAGCAUAAGAUGAUGAGUACUCGAGAGCAGGUGCUGGCUGGAGAAAGGACAGGGAGAAAGCAUGAUAUGAGAUACUCGUGCUCUCAACCUUUAUGAUAUGAAAUACUUGUGCUCUGGAUGGGUUGUUUGCAGGGGUAUCCCAGGGGAUGAAAAAUACAGAGUGACUUGAGAGGGUUUGUUGGAAAGCCAUUUCAGAGAGGAUGAAGGGUUAAGUGAGGCUGAAAGUUGGGUGAGACUGCUUCACUUUGAAGUUCAGCAUUUAUAGAAUUUUCUUAAUGGCUGGGAAGGCAUUGUUCCAUUACUCGUGUCGGCAAGCCUGGGAUAAUUUAACAGUAGUUUUCCCGUGCAUUCCACUUCUCCAAAAAUUUUCGACAGAUUGCGCGUGAUUUACGCAACGCAGAUGUGCAAAUUGACAGAUGCUGAUACGUCUCGAUAAAGCAGAGGCCUUUAAUAUCCAGAAUUUACGCUUCGAGUUCUGAGCUUCGUUGAGGGCAGAGAUUGCAUGUGACAAGUGCUGGCGAGGCUGAGAGAGACAGAUGGUUGGAAUCGGUGCUUCGACAGACUGCCCGUAAUUUUCGCAAAGAUGAGUUGCGUGUGAUGGGUGCUGACGAGGCUGAGACAGUUGACACUCUUCGGUAUCUGGAAUUGGUGGUUUGUGAGCAAGCCCAACUUUUGAGAAAGCUGGCGCCUCUUCGAUCUCCGAAUGGCUUCUUCGAUUUCUGAGCUCACCUCUUCGAUCUCUGAAAUCCCAUCGCGUGCUGAUUUUUAUAGAGGUAUGCAGGACGUUCAAAGCACUCUUGAAUUUCUGCCUGUAAAAACUCCCGUUUUGCACUUCUACGAUCUUGACUUGUCCGAUCUUCUCUUUCUCUAACACCUCUGAAAAAUGUCUGGCCCUUCCGACCGUCGUUUUGACUUGAACCUUGGUGAAGGAGCAGCCCCUCCUUCUCCAAACAACAUAUGGCGCCCGUCCCUCAUAUCCCCUACUGGUCCUCUGACCAUUAGGGAUUCGGUGAUGAAAAAUGACAUGACCGCUGCGGUGGUGGCCCGGAACCUUGUCACCCCCAGAGAUAACAGACUGCUCGCUAGACGGUCUGAUGAAUUGGCGGUUAAGGAGUCUCUGGCUCUUAGUGUGCAGUGUGCGGGUUCUGUGUCCAACAUGGCCCAACGCCUAUUUGCUCGAACCCGUCACGUUGAAUCGUUGGCGGCUGAAAUACAGAGUCUCAAAGACGAGAUUAGAGGACUCAAGCAUGAAAAUAAACAAUUGCACAAGCUUGCACACAAUUAUGCCACAAACAUGAAGAGGAAAAUUGACCAGCUGCAGGAAACUGAUGGUCAGAUUUUAUUUGAUCACCGGAGGUUUGUGGGUUUGUUCCAACAGCAUCUGCCUUCGUCUUCUGGGGCGGCACCGCGUAGUGAAGCUUCAACUGAUCAACCUCCUAUACCUCCUCAUUUCGUGGCCCCACCGACUGCUGAGACUCCGCCGACUACUGCAACUCCGCCGACUACUGCGACCUCUCCCAAGCAGCCUUUGUGAAGGCUCCCUCUUGUAUUAUGCUAUGUUUCUUUAUUUCCCAGUUUGCUGUUCAUUUCCACGAAGUUUAAUGUUAAAAUCCUUUGCAUAUUUGUUAAUGUUUCAAAAUAGAAAGUCACAACCAAAGUAAUUAAACAAGUAAUAAAAUUGACAAUCAAGCAGAAUAAAUGGGUUGCCUCCCUUAAAGCGCUUGCUUUAACGUCUUCCAGCCGGACGAUGAACACCUUGAUCAACCUUCAUGGGAACCCACGGCAUAGUGGGUUGUCUCCUCCACAUCUUGUUCUACAAAGCUCUCGUACAUUGCAUCCUUGAACGGAAAUGGAUAGUGAUGUUUGUUGAUGGGUGUGUUGUGUUGCCUAAGGUUCACGUUCCUGUGCCUACCGUCGGGGAUCUGCUUGGGUAUCUGCACCAAAGAAGGGAACCACCUAUCAACUUUAAUGGGAAUUGGAUUUGGAUUAGGUGGCUUACCUAUGUGAUGUGAUGAAGUGGUAGCAAUGUGAACAUUCUUCCCCAUGGUGCUUUCGGCCAAUUUGAGCACUGUGAGGGCAGUGGCCGUAUGGUCCUUGUACUCCACUCCAAUUCCCUCGUCUUGCAUGGUUAUUGAUUCAUCCUUUGUGCUUGGUGCUGAACGGUCCAGUCCUAUCUUUUCAAUUUUAUCAAUGGCACAACAAGAAUGAACAACAUUAGGAGUCUCAAUGGAUUCAGAAAUUUUAAAACUAAUCAUGUCACCACCAAAUGCCAUAAUGACUAAUCCUUUGGCCACAUCAAUCUUCGUUUGAGCCGUUUUCAUGAAUGGCCUUCCAAGGAGGAUGGGUAAUGAAGGGGCAUGGUCCGAUUCAUCCAUUUCGAGGACAUAGAAAUCCGCCGGGAAGAUUAAAUGAUCAACCUGCACUAAAACGUCUUCCAAAACUCCCUUUGGAUAAGCGUUAGAUCUAUCGGCCAAUUGUAUGAUUACACCAUCAUUUUUCAAUGCUCCUAAGUUCAUAGAUGCAUAAAUGGAAUAUGGCAUAACAUUUAUAGAAGCACCUAAAUCAAGCAUGGCAGAUUUGAAACGGGUAUUACCAAUGACACACGGAAUUGUAAAACUCCCCGGAUCUUUGCAUUUGGGGGGUAGUUUAUGUUGCAAGAUGGCGGAGACAUUCUCACUUACAUGUACCACCUCUUUCUCCCGGACACGUUUCUUUGUUGUACAAAGCUUCUUUAAACACUUGGCAUACUUCGGGAUUUGCUUUAUGGCAUCAAGGAGGGGAAUGUUGACAUGCACCUUUCUAAAUGUCUCUAGAACAUCUUUUUCCUCCUCUUCGUUCUUUGAUUGCAAAAAUCUGCUAGGAAAGGGGACAUUCAAAGGAAAAACAUUAGUCAGAAUUGAAUUUAACACAUUCUUACCCUUAUUGGAUGAAUUGGACAGAUUUGGAGCCAUGGGGGCUUGCGGCAUAGGUGUGUCCACCUUUGUUGUGGGUGGGCAUGCUUCCUCCUCCUCAAAUUGAAGUUUUUCAUCCUCUUUGUGACCUGUUUUUGAUGAAGAACAUGCCCCAAUCUCUUUUCCACUUCUCAAAAGUAUGGCCUUUGCACUUUCAAAGCCUCCCUUCGGGUUUGGAAUGGUAGAACUAGGAAGCCUUCCUUGGUCUCUAAUCUGCCCAACAACGUCGGCAAUCUGCCCCAUUUGUUUCUCUAGUUGGUCCACUCUUUUGUUUUGAUUUUCCUGCCCAUUAGUCAAAGUGGUUAGUAACUUAACAAGUGUAUCAUUAUCCAAAGCAUUACCUGAAUUAUUUGGGGCAGAUUGUGGUUGGACUUGAGGGGGUGCGUAUGGUUUGUUGUAGAAGCCCGGGGGUUGUUGCCUAAAGCCUCCUUGUGGUUGGGCUUGUUGUGGCUCUCUCCAUUUGAAGUUUGGAUGGUCUCUCCACCCCGGAUUAUACGUGUUGGAAUAUGGAUCAUGUCUUGGCUGAUUUUGGCUUUGAAACCCAAUGGCAUUAGCGCUCUCCCAUCCACCAUUCUCAAUGAGUUGAGGACACUUUUCGGAUGCAUGUCCUUGGAUAGAACAUACGCCACACACCAUGGGUCCUUGAAUCUUCAUUCCCUCGGCCAUCUGUGAAACAAGAGAAGUAAGAUUAGCUAACUGAGAUUGAAUAUUGGAAGUGGAACUUACCUCAUGCACUUGUUGCCGUGGGGGUCCUCUUUGGCCUACACCCUCGUAUUGUUGAGCGUUCAAUGCUCGAUUAGCAAUCAAGAUUUUUGCAGCCAUGGGCGUUUUGUCUACCAAUGCUCCACCCGCCAAGGCAUCGAGCAUUUGACGUUCUAGUGGUAGGAGCCCUUCGUAGAAGUAUUGCAAAAGCAAUUCCUCCUUCAUCUGAUGCUGUGGACAAGAAGCAACAAGUGAUUUAAAUCGUUCAUAAUAUGUAGGAAAAGACUCACCUUCAUCUUGUUGAAUUCCACUUAUUUUUUUAUGAAGAAGAAUGAUGCGAGAGAAGUUGGGAAAAACUUCUCCAGAAACGCCCUCUUCAUACUCUCCCAAGAUGUAACUGUACCGGGAGCCAACUCGUAUAACCAAUCCUUGGCUUUGUCCAUUAAAGAGAAUGGAAAAGCCUUCAUCUUUAAAAUACUUCCUUCAACGGUAACCGGAGUCAUACUUGAGCACACCACUUCAAAUUCUUUCAAAUGUUUGUUCGGAUCCUCCAUGGACAGCCCAUGGAACUUUGGAAUGUGGUGGAGCAAACUUGACUUUAACUCGAACUCUUCGGUUUUACCUUGAGCAGCCAUGGGAUAUUGGAUACACAAUGGUGCGGCAUUAUCCAAACCCGAGGCGGCAAGCUCAUUGAGCGUACGGUUGUCCAUGGCUAUACCUUGCUCUUCUCCACCCACUUGUGCCGUGGCCUUCUCUUCAACCUCAACUUCUUGCUCUUCUAAUUCAGGCUCGAGACUAGGAGGAUUAGACUCUUGCAAUUUCUUCUUCCUUCUCAAAGUCCUCUCAAAAUCACCGUCAAAGUCGGAGAUAUGCUCACGAACAGGUUGUGAGCUACGGGUCAUAAACUAGUACCUAAAAACAAAGAAAACAAAACAAAUCAGCAACUUAAACAGACACUUAAACAAAAUACAAUAAUUCGAAAGAAAACAAUCCAAGAGAUUAGCAAAGUUGCUAAUCCCCGGCAGCGGCGCCAAAAAUUUGAUGCGAAAUAUAUAUAAGCACACAAAUUAAACCCUCUUUUUAUCAAUUGUAGUAAAGUAUGUAAGUAGGGAUCGUUCUAGGCCGGGGAUUAGGAGGGAUUGCUAAAUCACUUGGAAACUGACUUGAAAACGUAAAAACAAAGUUUUUAAAACACUAACUAGACUCAAAGAAUGCAAAACUAUACUUUAAAACACUAAAACAAACCAAAAGACUCAAAACAGCCCCUAAACACUCAAAACUACCUUAAACACACAAUCUGGGCAGUUUUGGGACUCUAACACAAACUUGGACGAAUUUUGGUUUUCUAAUGAACUAAAACACUUUAAAAACAUAAUCUAAGACAAGUUCUAAUUAAUAUGACUCAAAGAAAUAAGAUGGGGUUGAUUUUGGACGAAAAUAAUUAAAUUAAGACAAGAACAAAGUAAACAAAUUCUUAGACACAUUUAAGUGAAUCAAAACAGAUUGUAAAAUGAAUUUGAAUGAAACUUAUGGAUGGAAGGCUAGCUAGGAGGUUCUUCUCCACAUAUGUCACACUUGCAUACAAAACGAUUUCCAGUUGCUUUUCGAUAAGCUA
rnacentral:lncRNA from 1 species